rfam:Zea mays cultivar B73 chromosome 7, whole genome shotgun sequence.
GCCUCUGUAGCUCAGUUGGUAAAACACAAGUCUCUUAACCUUGUGGUUGUGGGUUCAAGCCCCACCGUGAACA